rnacentral:rRNA from 1 species
UACAUGGGGUGCAAACGUUGCUCGGAAUUAUUGGGCGUAAAGCGCACGUAGGCGGUUCGUUAAGUCGGAUGUGAAAUCCCUCGGCUUAACCGGGGAACUGCGUCCGAUACUGGUUGGCUUGAGUUUGGGAGAGGGAUGCGGAAUUCCAGGUGUAGCGGUGAAAUGCGUAGAUAUCUGGAGGAACACCGGUGGCGAAGGCGGCAUCCUGGACCAAUACUGACGCUGAGGAGCGAAAGCCAGGGGAGCAAACGGG